rnacentral:rRNA from 1 species
AACGAACGCUGGCGGCGUGCCUAACACAUGCAAGUCGUGCGAGAAAGUUCCUUCGGGAGCGAGUAAAGCGGCGCACGGGUGAGUAACACGUAGGUAACCUGCCCCUUGGUCUGGAACAACUGGAGGCAACUCCAGCUAAUGCCGGAUAAGACAACGGCCCCUUCGGGGGCUGCGGCCAAAGAUGGCCUCUGCUUGCAUGCUAUCGCCUCGGGAUGGGCCUGCGGGCCCUUAGCUAGUUGGUGAGGUAACGGCUCACCAAGGCCGUGAUGGCCAGCUGGUCUGAGAGGAUGACCAGCCACACUGGGACUGAGACACGGCCCAGACUCCUACGGGAGGCAGCAGUGGGGAAUAUUGCGCAAUGGGCGAAAGCCUGACGCAGCGACGCCGCGUGGGUGAUGAAGGCCUUCGGGUCGUAAAGCCCUGUCGCAGGGGAAGAAUAAGCGGUGGGAUAAUACCCCGCCGCCCUGACGGUACCCUGCAAGAAAGCACCGGCUAACUCCGUGCCAGCCGCCGCCGUAA